rfam:Erwinia mallotivora strain BT-MARDI contig_60, whole genome shotgun sequence.
GGCACUUCAGGUGGCUCUGGGGCGAAAGUACUGACGACAGACCAGAAGCGGUAAGCCGUUGAGUUUAUGUAUGAUGCGACCGGUCUGCCGCAACGUCGUGCCUGUCAACCUGCCGUUA